GGGUGGUUAGCUCAGUUGGUUUAGAGCGUAUGCUUCACACGCAUAAGGUCGCAGGUUCGAUUCCUGUACCACCCA
rnacentral:tRNA from 1 species